GGAUGUAUAGCUCAGUGGUAGAGCAUUCGACUGCAGAUCGAGAGUUAUGCGGUUCAAACCCGGGUGUCCU
rnacentral:tRNA from 1 species